ACGCGAGUAAUACAAAAUGCAAGAUGCCGGUUCCUUGCCUGAAAUAGAUCCUCUCGAACAAAUUGGCGGAGUUGUUGUGGGGAUCUGGCUUUGGGCUACCUGUGAAUGCAUGGCGCGAGUACUAAGUCCAGUGGGUGGAAACGAGGCAAAAUUCAAAUUCAAAAGAGAACACGGUUGGAUCAGUCUUUGUGAGGUUUAUAGCGGGUUUCAGCUUAGUUUUUGCGAAAAUUUCUCUACAACAGCUAUAGCAACUGGCCUUUACCCAUGCUCAAGGAGAAUUCAAGUCGAAAUGAAAUGAAAUAACACCAAGCGUCUUUUGCCACAGAGGAGAGAGAAGCAAAGCCAGGAUGCAACAUGAUGAUGGGUUAUCCAGCUGGUGCUUUGAAGACCUUGGGAUCUUUAUAUCAACAACUAGAUGUAAGGCAUGAAGGGACAUGUUUUCUUCAAUUGUAGACUCUGGGAUUGUCAGUAAGCAAAGAACCAGGAGACAUAGGCUCUCCAUGGCUGGAUCACUGGAAAACCUGAGUAGUAGUAUCUAGAAUUUCAUGGCAUUUCAUACAGUCCUUCUUGCAAUACAUCUACAGUAAACACACGCAAUAAGAACCUACUUUUUUCUGAGUUACUAUAGCCUAAACAUGUUCUUAUAUGAGAGGUGCUCAGUAAUAUUUUAGGCUAUUUACUAUAGGCUCUUCCUCUUAUAGUAGAUUCUUAUUUUUAUAUGAAGUUGUGGUAGCAUUGUCAGGCAGACUUAUUGAUGUAGAUUGUUAAAAGAGCCUUCUUAUUUUUCUUUUUUUUUCCUGGCCAUCCUCAUCUCUAAAAUUAUGAACCUGCUCCAAAUGCUUGGCCUAAUAGGUUCUUAUACAAAAAUGGGGUUCUAAUUUGAACAUUUUAGGCCAACAGGUUCUUAUACACAGGUGCUCACUGCAAUUGUAAAAGUUCAAUAUGUUCUAUUUAAAAAAGAUAUUUCUUUUUGGACCCUCACCUUGUGGCAUUUAUUUAUUUAGUAGUGUUCAUUUAGUUAUUUUUUUAUCGAAUGUUUUUAGAGAAGCUCAGCGAUUUUACUAAGUGGAAGAUGUAUUGCACAGUACCUUUUAUACGAAAAUUAUAUUAGGGGGUUAUUAGGUAUUCUUUUACGUUCCAAUUGUUUAUGCGAGUUAUAAUAGUUUAAAUACUUAUUUAUUUGAGAGCGAUUACAAGUUGUUAUUUGAUAUGAACGAUUAUAAUGACAUGCUGUUUAUUCAAAGUAUAUAGGAUUUUAAGCAGGGAACGUUUACAAGAAACUAUUUAUGUGAUAUGUUGUAAAAUUACGAUACGAUGUGACAUGUUAAAUAAAUUUGAAUUUUAUUAA